rnacentral:rRNA from 1 species
GAUAUUGGUCAAUGGGGGCAAUCGUGUUCCAGCCAUGCCGCGUGAGUGAAGAAGGUCUUCGAUUUGUAAAGCACUUUAAGUUGGGAGGAAGGUCCUUAGGCUAAUACCCUGAAGUUUUGACGUUACCAACAGAUUAUGUACCGUCUACCUCUGUGCCAGCAGCCUCGGAAAUACAUAGGGUGCAAGCGUCAAUCGGAAUUACUGGGCGUAAAGCGCGCGUAGGUGGUUCAGUAAGAUGGGUGUGAAAUCCCCGGGCUUAACCUGGGAACUGCUUUCAUAACUGCUGAGCUAGAGUACGGUAGAGGGUAGUGGAAUUUCCUGUGUAGCGGUGAAAUGCGUAGAUAUAGGAAGGAACACCAGUGGCGAAGGCGACUACCUGGACUGAUACUGACACUGAGGUGCGAAAGCGUGGGGAGCAAA